rnacentral:rRNA from 1 species
GAUUAGUGAUGUCAAAACCUGAUCUUGUCAGAUCUCUGAAGCUAAGCAGGGGUGAGCCUGGUUAGUACUUUGAUGAGAGACCGCUGGGAAUACCAGGUGCCACAAUGU